GUUUAUGGAAACUGCAGCCUCUGGAACAAGCGACAAAACUUCUGAUUGAAAGAAAUAAGAAGCCAGGGAUAUUGUCGACAGAGAGAGCUGAUACCUUGAUGGUCAAAAAAUGGAACCAACUGUUCUAGAUGGCAAGAAGAA